rnacentral:siRNA from 1 species
UUAUGUUGUAGUGAUUUGCUGGCU